GCAGUCUGCAACUCGAGUGCAUGAAGCUGGAAUCGCUAGUAAUCGCGGAUCAGAAUGCCGCGGUGAAUACGUUCCCGGGUCUCGUACACACCGCCCGUCACACCAUGGGAGUCGGGAAUGCCCGAAGCCGGUGGCCCAAUCGAGAGAAGGGAGCCGUCGAAGGCAGGCCGGAUGACUGGGGUGAAGUCGUAACAAGGUACC
rnacentral:rRNA from 1 species